GCCUUCGUGGUGUAGUAGUUAGCACACUGAGCCGGUAUUUCAGAGGUCCGUGGUUCGAUUCCCGGCGAAGGCG
rnacentral:tRNA from 1 species